AGUGAACGCUGGCGGUAUGCCUAACACAUGCAAGUCGAACGGCAGCACAGUAACUUCUUGCUCUUACUGGUUUCGAGUGGCGGACGUGUGACGUAUACAUCGUACUCUACUUUUUCGUGUGGGUUUACGUAGCGAUACUUACUCCCAUACCGCAUACGACCUUCCAUUGCAAUCACUUGAUCUUCGGACCUUGCUCGCUUGCAUGAGCCGCUGUCGGAUUAUCUAGUUGUCGGGGUAAAGUCCCACCAAGGCGACGAUCCGUAGCUGGUCUGAGAAGAUGAUAAGCAAAACGGGAACUGAGACAGGGUCAAGACUCCUACGGGAGGCAGCAGAGGGGAAUAUUGGACAAUGGGCGAAAGCCUGAUGAAGACAGACGGCGUGGGUGAAGAAGUCCUUGGGGUGGUAAAGCCCGUUUGUUGGGAAAGAAAAGCAGCAGGUUAAUAAGACGCUGUUGUGGCGGUACCCAAAGAAUAAGCAACGGCUAACUUCGUG
rnacentral:rRNA from 1 species